rnacentral:rRNA from 1 species
GACCCGUCUUGAACCACGGAGUCUAACAUGUGCGCGAGUCAUUGGGUUCGRYAGCGAAACCCAGAGGCACAGUGAAAGUGAAGGCUGCUCUAGGGUAGCCGAGGGAGGAUGGAGCAGGCAUUGUCCGGCUUCCGCACUCCCGGGGCGUCUCACCCUCAUUGCGAGGAGAGACGCACCUAGAGCGUACACGUUGGGACCCGAAAGAUGGUGAACUAUGCCUGGCCAGGACGAAGUCAGGGGAAACCCUGAUGGAGGUCCGUAGCGAUUCUGACGUGCAAAUCGAUCGUCAGAGCUGGGUAUAGGGGCGAAAGACUAAUCGAACCAUCUAGUAGCUGGUUCCUUCCGA